AUGGACGCCGACCACGGCGGCGCGGCGGACGAGGCGGAGGCGGCCUUCUUCGCGCGCCGGGGCAGCCGGUGCUGCUGCUUCCCCUGCUGGCCCUCCUCCGCGCCCUCCUCGUCCUCCCACCAGCGCGUGGGCGGGGCGGCGGCGACGCUGGGCGGGGAGGAGGAGCACUGGUGGCAGGGCGCGGUGGACGCGCUGCUCAAGGUGCGGGAGUGGUCGGAGCUGGCGGCCGGGCCGCGGUGGAAGACCUUCAUCCGGCGCUUCGGUCGCGGCCCCCGCCCGCACCACCACGCCUUCGGCGGCCGCAAGCUCAACUACGACGCGCUCAGCUACGCGCUCAACUUCGACGAGGGCCACGGCGCCACCCCCGAGGCCGGCGACCACGCCGGCGGCUACCGCGACUUCUCCUCCCGCUUCGCCGCCCCGCCCGCCUCCGCCAAGUCCUCCAUGGACCUCGGCGGCCGCGACGCGCCGCCGCUCUUCCCCCCGCCCCCCGCCGACGGCGCCCCGCGGGCCUGA
rnacentral:rRNA from 1 species